rnacentral:sRNA from 1 species
GGGUUUCACCACGUUGCCCUGGCUGGUCUUGAACUCCGCGACUCAAGCAAUCCGCACGCCUCGGCCUCCCAAAGUGCUGAGAUUACAGGCAUGAGCCACCGCGCCCAGCCUGAACCCCCUAUUUAAUGUCAGAAAUUUGAUUUGACUUCACAGGGAAAGCCCUGAGAAACUACCAGAACAGGGGCCCUCGGGCCAGUGUUGGGAGCAUACGGUGAAGUGGCAGGGCUGCUGCACCAGUGCGGAACUCCCCUGUGGAAGAUUAGCCCCUUUGGUGACUCGUCGGUUCUGGCCGCUGUGGGACCUUCCACUGUGCAGUCUGAACUUUCAGCAGGUGGAGGAGGGCAGAGACCUGAGAGUGUUGGUCCAUGCCAGUGCGAGAGCCAGUACAGCCGGAAGCCAUGAUGGGACUUUCAAUUCCUUUCUUGGUGGAGGCCAGCGCAGGGGAGAGGGGGUGCCUGUAGGUGCUAGAAGCUUAAAGACUGCUGGGGGCUAGUGGCCGCCUCAGGACAUAAGGUUUCCAGAUAGGACGGGGCAGGUGGUGAUGCAGCUGUAGCUGGUGAGUCUGGCCGGGGCAGGUGGUGAUGCAGCUGUAGCUGGUGAGUCUGAGCGGGAAACAGCCCCCGCGCAGUCGGUGUCACUGUGAAGAGAAAAGGGCCUUCCUUACACAGGAAACGGGGUCUCUGGGGGAUCCAGUGACGUUUCCGACCACACAGACCAGGUGAGACUGGCUGAUGGUGUCUGGGGCUGCAGGUGACUUAGUUGGGGGCUUGCUCUUGGCCUCCAGACUGGGCCUGAUGGCGUGGGCGCCUGCCUGUGUGCAGGCCCAAGGGCUCAGCUGCCUCUGUCUGUCCCCAGACCGCUCCUCCUGUAGAGAGUGGUGCUGCCAUCUCGGGAUGUACCUGCAGGUAGAGACCCGCACCAGCUCCCGCCUCCAUCUGAAGAGGGCUCCAGGCAUCCGGUCCUGGUCCCUGCUGGUUGGUAAGGCUCUCCACCUCCCUCCCCAGAACCCCAGAACCAGAAGCCUGACUUUCAAAAAGGAUGAAAAUGAAACAAAGUAUUUUCUCUUUUUUCUAUUACCUUGAAAUCUAAUGGCUAUUUUGUUUCUUUGUAUCCAUUCAAAUUUUAUCUGGUGUACUUGGUUUUACAGAUAAUGCAUGUCUGUUUUGUCCCUUUUAACCACUAACACCCAGAGUAUUUAAUAUACUCUAUGAGCUUUUCUGAGGUCACCAUAUUUUCCUUUGUACUUGUUUUGAAUCACAUGAUGGGUGAUCGUGGGUUCCCAUGUCUCCUCCUCCCUGGUCCUCAGACCUCUUCAUAGGACUCACAGUCCACUUAGCCUCCUGUCCUCCAUCCCUACCCACCAGUAGGGUCCUGUACCCUUGGGGACAGCUGCACUUGUGUUGAUGGGACACCGUGUGAGGAGUGGUGCUGGCUGUACCUCAGCAGCUGGGGCCCACCUUUUUUGUGACACACCACAGCCUCCUGUGUGUUUUGCAUGGCACGCUGUGUUGUAAUUUCUUUGUGCACAGUGUUCAGGCCUCACCACGCGCUACUGGAGUAACACCCGUGUCAGUUAUGGAGCCUCACACAGCAGAUGUGUCCAGUAAAUACUGUGAAUAGUGUAUACUGUGUUUUGCUUUUGUUUUCUUUAGUGAUGAGGUCUCGUUAUGUUGCCCAGGCUGGUCUCAAACUCCUGAGCUCAAGCGAUCUUCCGUCCUCGGCCUCCCAGGUAGCUGGGAUUACAAGUGUGUGAUACUACGCCCAGCUAUACUGCAUUAUUGAACCAACUUCCUGGCUGUUUCCCCUACUCUGAACCUGGUGGUCUAUAACCCCUGACCACAGCUGUUCCUACAGUGGGAAGGGCCUGCUCAUCUGGGCUGUGGCUCCUGGUCCCGCUGCACCGGGGAGGUGGGGUCUUACCAGGAUCAAUAGGCAGGCAGUCACUUUCUUUUCAUAGGAAUCUUGUCGAUUGGCCUGGCUGCUGCCUACUACAGCGGAGAUAGCCUGGGCUGGAAGCUCUUCUACGUCACAGGCUGCCUGUUUGUGGCUGUGCAGAACUUGGAGGACUGGGAGGAAGCCGUCUUCGACAAGAGCACAGGGAAGGUUGUUUUGAAGACGUUCAGCCUCUACAAGAAGCUGCUGACUCUUUUCAGAGCUGGCCACGACCAGGUGGUGGUCCUGCUGCAUGAUGUCCGUGACGUGAGCGUGGAGGAGGAGAAGGUCCGGUACUUCGGGAAGGGCUACAUGGUGGUGCUCCGGCUCGCAACGGGCUUCUCCCACCCCCUCACGCAGAGCGCGGUCAUGGGCCACCGCAGUGAUGUGGAAGCCAUCGCCAAGCUCAUCACCAGCUUCCUGGAGCUGCACUGCCUUGAGAGCCCCACAGAGCUGUCUCAGAGCAGCGACAGUGAGGCCGGCGACCCUGGGAGCCAGAGCUGACAGCCCCACUGUACCUGAUCCCGUGCACCGCCCACAGGACCCGUGGCACAUUCCCGGUGUGCCUGAGCCCGUGCACCGCCCACAGGACCCGUGGCACAUUCCCGGUGUGCCUGAUCCUGUGCACUGCCCACAGAACCCAUGACCUUGGCUUCAGUCGGUGCCUCCAGCCGAGUUGGCCUAUUGCCUGCUCAUGCUGCUGCUUGCACACUGCAUGAAACAGCAGGCCAGACCAGGACACCCAGACUUUCUCCAUCGUGAGGCCUGGGCCUGCCUUUCUGCAGCCGGAGGUCUCGCCAGCCCUGGACUCCUGCUGUGGGCCACAGCAAGACCUCGGGCAAGUGGAGAGGCGGGGCCAGGCCAGGCCCUUGUGGGUGCUGAUGCUGUGUGUUGUCCCCGACACAGCAGCCUCUCCCUGGUGGACAUCCCCAGCAGUCAGGUGCUUCCCCAAGGGCAGUGAGGUGUGAACAUCCGGGGCCUACCUGGCUGUGCACGCUGCAGCCACACUGGAAGCUGCCCCUCCCCGAGGACCCGCCUCCCUUGCUGAUGCCAGGAUCUCGGCGCAUAGACCGCUCUGCCCCAGUGGUCGUCUCAGAAAGGUCUCUCUGUUCGUCACACUCAGCCUCAGCAUAAGCUGUGAGGCCAGAAAAAAGGUCAGCUCUUCUAGUAUCGUGCAGCGCUUAGAAACCGGGAGCUCCAGCCGGGUGCAGUGGUUCAUGCCAGUAAUCCCAGCACUUUCGGAGGCCGAGGCGGGAGGAUUGCUUGAGGCCAGGAGUUCAAGACCAGCCUGGGUAACACAGCAAGAUCCUGUCUUUGCAAAAAAAUUGACCAAACAAGAAAAACUGGGAGAUUUUCUGCAGAAAUUGAGUUCCAGCCUCUCUCGAACCUGGGAAGACCUGGCAGGAGGGGCUGGGCUCUCCGCUACAGACUUCUCCCCACCCCGUAGGAGCUGAAUGCCAACCAUCCUGACGUGCCAGUGCUCUUGGUCUCCCAAGUGCACCCAGGUCCUCCCAGGUGCAGUGUGCACCGAACACGCCUGGCCUUAUGCCCUGGCCUGUGAGCUGGGGACUCCUGGGCCCUGUGAGCCCCUAGGCGGCAGGCCUAGGAAUGGCUGGGUAGGACAGGGAACGCCUUUGCCCCACGUCUGGCUGUGACCUCGGUGAAAGCCAACAGGAGAGAGAUGGGACCCUCCUCCUCAGUAGUGGCUGCCAGUCCCUCGUUGCAGGACAUGGUCAUCAUAACCAUAAAUAACCCUUCGCGUGUC